rnacentral:rRNA from 1 species
GAUGAACGCACAAGACGUGCCUAACACAUGCAAAUCGAAUGAGAACAAUUUAAUUAUUGUUUUCAUGGUGAACGGGUGAGUAACACAUAAGAAUCAGCUUUUAGAUAAGGCAUAAAAGAGUAAUAUCUUGGUAAUUCCUUAUAUGCGCAACAGUGCUUAAAAAGGGGAGUCCCGUCUAAAAACGAGCUUAUGCCUGAUUGCUAGUUGGCGAGUUAAAAGCUCACCAAGGCGAAGAUCAGUAGCUGGCCUGAGAGGGCGGCCAGCCACAUUGGGACUGAGA